rnacentral:rRNA from 1 species
AUGGAUUUAGCGGCUGAUAGAGGGCAAACUCGGAGAACUUACAGCUCUGACUUUUCUCUAGCAAGUCUAGCAAGUGAGAGAAGCUCUGGUGGAAGCAGCGGGCGGCGGCUCCUGUAUCGAGCCCCCCGCUCGUCCCCGCACUACUCUCCUAGCUCUUGCCGCCGCCCCUCCCCCAAUCUCCACCGUGCUUCCGCUCUUCCCCGUCUCCAUUUGCGGCAGCGCUCUCCUCAUUUCUCCCCUUCCACCUCUUCCUCCAGCGGCAGCCACACCCGGCGUGCUCUUCUCCGGCGAUUGCGGCCAGCCCGCCCAGCCGGCCACUUUAGUCAAGCGGUGGUGGACAAGAACGUGUGUCAGGUGGCGGGCAGACGAUGA